AGACCAUCAUCUGACUGCAGUUAGCUUGGGGGGCUCCAGCUGUGCUCUGAAAUGUCAUGGACCGAGGUGAGCCAGAGAGCGUUAAUGUCUAUGAAUUCCCAGCCUAUUUGUGGAUGCAGAAAUGUUCUGAUCACUGGAGCAAACUACUUUGUCCCCUACUGAGAAAUGCAGAGCUGCACCUAAACCAGCAGUAAAACAGCAG